CCAAUCGAUCGGUAAGCACAGUGAGAUUGUUUCUCGGGGGACGAGUGGGCGGACGGGUGGAGUAAUUUCUGGGAAACAGCCCUCAAUGGAGGGGGGGAAAACUCUGGAAACGGGUGGUUAAUCCGCACAACGUCUCAAGGACCAAAGAGGGGGGACCUUCGGGCCUUUUGCCCUUCAGAUGGCCCCGGGAGGGGAUUAGUUGUUAGGGGGGGUACGGCUAAACAGGCACAUCCCUAGCUCUUUGGGAGGAGUCCCGCCCCACUGGAAUGAGCCCCGGUCCAGUUCUUCGGGGGCACCAUGGGAAAUAUUGCCCAAUGGGCGCAAUCCUGAGGCAGCCAUCCGGGGGGUAGAAGAAGGCCUUCGGUUUUUAAAGUACUUUUUGCGGGGAGGAAGAGGUUGUGGUUAAAUACGGCAUCCAUUAACGUUACUCGCAGAAAAAGCACCGGCUAAAUCCGUGCCGGCAGCCGCGGUAAUAAGGUGGGGGCAAGGGUUAAUUGGAAUUAUUGGGGGUAAAGCCCCCCCAGGCGGUCUGUCAAGUCGAAUGUGAAAUCCCCGGGCUCAACCUGGGAACUGCAUUGGAAACUGGCAGGCUGAAUUCUAUGGAGGGGGGUAGAAUUCCCGGUGUAGCGGGGAAAUGCGUAGAGAUUGGGAGGAAACCCGGUGGGGAAGGGGGCCCCCUGGACAAAGACUGACGCUCAGGCGGAAAGCGUGGGAGCAAACCGGAUUAAAUACCCUGGUAGUCCACCCGUAAACGAUAUUGACUUGGAGGUUGUGCCCUUGAGGCGUGGCGUCCGGAGCUAACGCGGUUAAAGUAGAACCCCGCG
rnacentral:rRNA from 1 species